AUGGUAGACGUGAGGGCCAGCCCCACCAGGAUAUACAGCGUGCACAGCAGCAUGUACUUGGGUUUCUCUGGAAGGACAGAACAUCGGUGGACAAGACAGAUCCCUACUUAGCAGCCCAACAGAGCGAAGGUUCCUUCAGGUAAUUUCACCAAAGGCGGAAAUAAAACAAGUUGCCUCAUUGGUGAGGCUGUGUAUAUAUAAAAAACGGUUCGAUGGCCCAAAUAACUAACUCCUGUGGUUAAUAAUAUCAGAGGUUAAUGAACUGCAAUAUGAACGAAUUAAAUUGUGGGACAGUAACAUAUAUAUAUAUGAGCAUCUGGGUCACUUGCAGAUGGAUUCGGUGUGGUUUGUGACUGCAAAGAUCUACUUAUACACAGAGAAAGCUGAAAGAAGAUUUGUUGACUUUUUACAUCCUACGCACAAGAAUUUGCAUGAUUUAUGGAACGCUAUGAGGUACAGCUUUAUAUUGCAUUGCGUAAGACUGGCUCAUCUUUUGGUCUAAUUUUAAAUCAGUAUGGUAAAAAUAAAGUAAGGUUUCUGUUUCUUUAAAAUAAUACAUGUAGUCAUAAUUGUUUUCUGUAUACGAAAGUUAAAAUAUAUAUAACCCAAAUUGCUGCAGCUUUAACUGGGGGAACCAGAGUGUGUUUAAUGUACAUAUGUUGCCUCAGCUUUUAAGUCUGUAAAUUUCUGCUACAGGACUUUUCGUACUCGAAUAAUAUUAGUUAUAUAACAUAGGUCUAUUUUUACUUUCGGUGUAGCUUCGAACAUGGUACAGACUGAUGGGAGGAAAGACGAACAGACAUAUUUUCCCUCUGAUUCUUCCAUCUUAUGAAACGUACGUUUUUAAGAAAUUUCUCCUUUGCUAUUCGUUAUGUGUUCUUUCAAAACUCACUAGAAGCAGUUCUGAGACAAUGCAGUACGAAUGCGACGAUAAAGUCCUCUCUUCUGGGGCACAACGCCUUGUAGCCCGAUUAAAUUCGCUACCUACCUCAUACUGGUUUCUUGCUUUGCUUCUUCUUCGACCCUGAAAACUGAGGCUCCAUGUUUCUCCGAAACUUCAAUUGACUUUUAUUCACUUUAUUCAUAACCACUGCAGUGAAAACCUCAAAUCCUAGGUAACACGCAAGCCCGAUUCGCGCAGAACCUAUAGAAAACUCAGUGCACUUGUCGAGCCAUCUGAAGCCAUGUAGCUAAAUUUCGUGGCUUCAUAUUUAUUUUACACUGUUAGUCAUAGCCGGCCGAUAUUACGAUCCCCCAUAGAUGGCGACUCUAACGUAGCCUAUAUUACAACAAAAUUUCUCUCUACUCUGUAUAGUAUUUACCUAUUUAUUCUUGUUCUUUACUGGCGCUACAACCCUCUGUGAGUCUUAGCUUCCUCCAUGGGCCUCCUCCGUUAGCUCGGGAGGUUUCGUUAGCCCCACCCAACCCCCAACCUAGAGAACCAGAGAUUACACUUCGUCUGGCCCCUGCCCUUUGGCUGACUGAUGUGGAUGGCUCUCCCAGGAGCUUAUACUCCCGCCAGCAUAGCUGUCCGGGUCACUUAGGUGUUCAAAUUUCCUCUCCGCUAUAUGAUGGUAGUCUUCGGGGAUGAUUAAUCUAACUGCAUUUUAUAAUAUGCUUGUCAUUGGUACGGUUACCUCGAACUCUUAACAAAAUUUUAGCGGCAGCCAAUUACCUAAUCCUUCAAUUGCCGAUGCAUAUCUUCAUGCCAUCAUUAAAAAAUUACUCCAUUAUAUUUUCAGUACAGAAUAGAAACUAAAAUCUCCACACCGGAAAUUGAUGCAACACAAAGGAUAUUUCUUGUGUAAGGUUGCCUACUCAAAGUUAACGUCAGAAAUGUUCGAAACCUCCCAGCUGUUCAGGAAAUUCCAGUCUCCUGUGGAACCCGAAGUUUCAUUAUCGUAUUCACACGAGCCCUCCCAAUGGGCUCAAUCCUGAACUAGCUGAAACCAAUCUGAGCCCUCACUUUUUAACUUUUAUGGUAAAUUUCAAGAGUAUCUACAUUCAGGUCUUCGAACUUUUCUGUAAACUUUAAAUUCUCCGAAUAAAAUAUGUGCAUUCAAUUCUCCCAUGCGUACUACACCUACCUCCCAUCCAUAAACAGUAUUUUCUUGACUUGAUGGCUACAAUAACAUUCAGUGAGCAGUACUGUUGAGCUUUCCAUUAUGUAGUUUACUCAGACCUCCUGGUAAUUGCCCUGUUUUGCGUCUAAACAUUUCCCUGAGCAUCCUCAAGUUUUCUCCUAAGUAGAACGACAAUGAUUUACCUUCAUACACGGAAACUGAUAAUGUUACAUGUGUGUAUAUUUUAUAUUUACAUUUACAGAUGAGAGUUGGGAAAACCAGAAACUUUGAAAUAAAUGGUAAUAAGCUACACAAUACUUAAUUCACUUCUGAUUUCCGCUGACUAUGAUCGGAGCACGGAAAUUUAUAAUAUUGGAACCAAUAAUUGACCAUAAUUAAUAAAUACCAGAACAAUAGUUAAUUCAUAGAAGAUUGUAAAAUUAUAUAGUGUGCGGUGACAGGCGUGAUUCGCAGAAGGAAUUAUGUAUGAUAUUCUAACAUUAAUGAUUUUCAAAUAAUAGGAUAAUAAUAAGUGCCUUAUUUAAUAUACACUGAAUAAAUAAAAUUGUGAUAAACUUUUCUCUUGUAAUAAACAAUAUUAAUAUUCACGUU